GACGAACGCUGGCGGCGUGCUUAACACAUGCAAGUCGAACGGAAAGGCCCUGCUUUUGUGGGGUGCUCGAGUGGCGAACGGGUGAGUAACACGUGAGUAACCUGCCCUUGACUUUGGGAUAACUUCAGGAAACUGGGGCUAAUACCGGAUAGGAGCUCCUGCUGCAUGGUGGGGGUUGGAAAGUUUCGGCGGUUGGGGAUGUACUCGCGGCUUAUCAGCUUGUUGGUGGGGUAGCGGCUUACCAAGGCAUUGACGGGUAGUCGGCCUGAGAGGGUGACCGGCCACAUUGGGACUGAGAUACGGCCCAGAGUACUACGGGAGGCAGCAGUGGGGAAUAUUGCACAAUGGGCGGAAGCCUGAUGCAGCAACGCCGCGUGCGGGAUGACGGCCUUCGGGUUGUAAACCGCUUUCGCCUGUGACGAAGCGUGAGUGACGGUAAUGGGUAAAGAAGCACCGGCUAACUACGUG
rnacentral:rRNA from 1 species